GCUUACGGCCAUACCACCCUGAGAACGCCCGAUCUCGUCUGAUCUCGGAAGCUAAGCAGGGUCGGUCCUGGUUAGUACUUGGAUGGGAGACCGCCUGGGAAUACCAGGUGUUGUAAGCU
rnacentral:rRNA from 1 species